rnacentral:rRNA from 1 species
GAAGGGAGCUUGCUCCUGGAUUCAGCGGCGGACGGGUGAGUAAUGCCUAGGAAUCUGCCUGGUAGUGGGGGAUAACGUCCGGAAACGGGCGCUAAUACCGCAUACGUCCUGAGGGAGAAAGUGGGGGAUCUUCGGACCUCACGCUAUCAGAUGAGCCUAGGUCGGAUUAGCUAGUUGGUGGGGUAAAGGCCUACCAAGGCGACGAUCCGUAACUGGUCUGAGAGGAUGAUCAGUCACACUGGAACUGAGACACGGUCCAGACUCCUACGGGAGGCAGCAGUGGGGAAUAUUGGACAAUGGGCGAAAGCCUGAUCCAGCCAUGCCGCGUGUGUGAAGAAGGUCUUCGGAUUGUAAAGCACUUUAAGUUGGGAGGAAGGGCAGUAAGUUAAUACCUUGCUGUUUUGACGUUACCAACAGAAUAAGCACCGGCUAACUUCGUGCCAGCAGCCGCGGUAAUACGAAGGGUGCAAGCGUUAAUCGGAAUUACUGGGCGUAAAGCGCGCGUAGGUGGUUCAGCAAGUUGGAUGUGAAAUCCCCGGGCUCAACCUGGGAACUGCAUCCAAAACUACUGAGCUAGAGUACGGUAGAGGGUGGUGGAAUUUCCUGUGUAGCGGUGAAAUGCGUAGAUAUAGGAAGGAACACCAGUGGCGAAGGCGACCACCUGGACUGAUACUGACACUGAGGUGCGAAAGCGUGGGGAGCAAACAGGAUUAGAUACCCUGGUAGUCCACGCCGUAAACGAUGUCGACUAGCCGUUGGGAUCCUUGAGAUCUUAGUGGCGCAGCUAACGCGAUAAGUCGACCGCCUGGGGAGUACGGCCGCAAGGUUAAAACUCAAAUGAAUUGACGGGGGCCCGCACAAGCGGUGGAGCAUGUGGUUUAAUU